rnacentral:rRNA from 1 species
CCUACGGGUGGCAGCAGUGAGGAAUAUUGGUCAAUGGACGAGAGUCUGAACCAGCCAAGUAGCGUGAAGGAUGACUGCCCUAUGGGUUGUAAACUUCUUUUAUAAAGGAAUAAAACGAGGCACGUGUGCCUUUUUGCAUGUACUUUAUGAAUAAGGAUCGGCUAACUCCGUGCCAGCAGCCGCGGUAAUACGGAGGAUCCGAGCGUUAUCCGGAUUUAUUGGGUUUAAAGGGAGCGUAGAUGGGUUGUUAAGUCAGUUGUGAAAGUUUGCGGCUCAACCGUAAAAUUGCAAUUGAUACUGGCAGUCGUGAGUACAGUUGAGGUAAGCGGAAUUCGUGGUGUAGCGGUGAAAUGCUUAGAUAUCACGAAGAACCCCGAUUGCGAAGGCAGCUUACUAGACUGUGACUGACAUUGAUGCUCGAAAGUGUGGGUAUCAAACAGGAUUAGAUACCCCUGUAGUC